rnacentral:rRNA from 1 species
UACGUAGGGCGCAAGCGUUGUCCGGAAUUAUUGGGCGUAAAGAGCUCGUAGGCGGCUUGUCGCGUCGUCCGUGAAAACCUGCAGCUCAACUGCAGGCUUGCGGUCGAUACGGGCAGGCUGGAGUUCGGUUAGGGGAGACUGGAAUUCCUGGUGUAGCGGUGAAAUGACGCAGAUAUCAGGAGGAACACCGGUGGCGAAGGCGGGUCUCUGGGCCG